rnacentral:rRNA from 1 species
AACGAACGCUGGCGGCAGGCUUAACACAUGCAAGUCGAACGCUCGUGGCAACACGGGAGUGGCAGACGGGUGAGUAACGCGUGGGAACCUACCUCAAGGUGCGGAAUAACUCAGGGAAACUUGAGCUAAUACCGCAUGUGCCCUUCGGGGGAAAGAUUUAUCGCCAUGGGAUGGGCCCGCGUCGGAUUAGCUAGUUGGUGGGGUAACGGCCUACCAAGGCGACGAUCCGUAGCUGGUCUGAGAGGAUGAUCAGCCACACUGGGACUGAGACACGGCCCAGACUCCUACGGGAGGCAGCAGUGGGGAAUAUUGGACAAUGGGCGCAAGCCUGAUCCAGCCAUGCCGCGUGAGUGAUGAAGGCCUUAGGGUUGUAAAGCUCUUUCGCCGGUGAAGAUAAUGACGGUACCCACAGAAGAAGCCCCGGCUAACUCCGUGCCAGCCGCCGCCGUAAGAC